AUUGAACGCUGGCGGCAUGCCUUACACAUGCAAGUCGAACGGCAGCACGGGAGCAAUCCUGGUGGCGAGUGGCGAACGGGUGAGUAAUAUAUCGGAACGUGCCCAGUCGUGGGGGAUAACGUAGCGAAAGCUACGCUAAUACCGCAUACUAUCUAUGGAUGAAAGCGGGGGAUCGCAAGACCUCGCGCGAUUGGAGCGGCCGAUAUCAGAUUAGGUAGUUGGUGAGGUAAAGGCUCACCAAGCCGACGAUCUGUAGCUGGUCUGAGAGGACGACCAGCCACACUGGGACUGAGACACGGCCCAGACUCCUACGGGAGGCAGCAGUGGGGAAUUUUGGACAAUGGGGGCAACCCUGAUCCAGCAAUGCCGCGUGAGUGAAGAAGGCCUC
rnacentral:rRNA from 1 species